rnacentral:lncRNA from 1 species
CUGGGCAAUUUCCACGGUGAAGUCACGAAUCCGCUCUGACUGAAGCCCAGUUCUGCAUCACUCCCAUCAGUCUGGGGCUUUAUAGCAGAUUUUGCUGCAAAUGUAAAAGUGGAGCAGAGAUCUGUGGGCUUUGCAUUCCGAGGGGCUGACUUUGGAAUAGAUGAGUGCAUGCUUGGUUGGCUUCAGGGAACCAAGCAAUAAUCUCAACCAGUCACCUCGCAAGAAAAAUUAGCAAGCAGAUGUUUCAUUACAAAAGGAACUAAUGGUAACUGAUGGCAUUAAAGGUAACUUUCCAUUACUUUUGGUGAUAUGAACCAAAACCGCUUUUAAAUAAUGACUGGCACCAGCAAAUAAAAACAGAAAUAUGUAUCA